rnacentral:rRNA from 1 species
AUUGAACGCUGGCGGCAGGCCCAACACAUGCAAGUCGAACGGUAGCACAGAGAGCUUGCUCUCGGGUGACGAGUGGCGGACGGGUGAGUAAUGUCUGGGAAACUGCCCGAUGGAGGGGGAUAACUACUGGAAACGGUAGUUAAUACCGCAUAGCGUCGCAAGACCAAAGUGGGGGACCUUCGGGCCUCACACCAUCGGAUGUGCCCAGAUGGGAUUAGCUAGUAGGUGGGGUAAUGGCUCACCUAGGCGACGAUCCCUAGCUGGUCUGAGAGGAUGACCAGCCACACUGGAACUGAGACACGGUCCAGACUCCUACGGGAGGCAGCAGUGGGGAAUAUUGCACAAUGGGCGCAAGCCUGAUGCAGCCAUGCCGCGUGUAUGAAGAAGGCCUUCGGGUUGUAAAGUACUUUCAGCGGGGAGGAAGGCGGUGAAGUUAAUAGCUUCACCGAUUGACGUUACCCGCAGAAGAAGCACCGGCUAACUCCGUGCCAGCAGCCGCAGUAA